AUGGAGCAAUUGGAGAAGAGGAUGGAUGCUGCAGAACAACAAAUCAAAGAGCUGCGUGAAGAUCUUAAUCGGAGACUUGACCAGCUGGUUGAGAUGAUAAGAAAGGGUGUUCCCCCUGCUACCAAUGAAGGAGAUUCAUCUAAAGAAGAAGAUGUUCAUCAAAUAAGGAGAUGUAAUCUUGGAGCAAGACCGCCACAACAACGUGUUGUUCAACAUGCUUCAAGAAGGCCAAUUUAUGUUGGAACUUCUGAAGGUGAAGAAUAUGAUGAAGCCCUUGAAGAAGCUGAUCUCUAUGCAUAUCGGAGAGUACCCAACCCUACAUAUGCAAGGGAUACAUACAAGGUGAAAGCUGACAUCCCAACUUUUAAUGGAAAUGUUGAUAUUGAAGGGUGCCUAGAUUGGUUAUAUGAAGUGGAGACUUUCUUUGAGGUCAUGGAGGUUUCGGAAGAUCAUAGAGUCCCUUUGGUCGCAUACAAGCUGAAAGGAGGAGUCGGUGCAUGGUGGCAUCGCGUUCAAGAAGAGCGCAGGAUGAGAGGAGAACCUCGUGUGAGAACUUGGUGGAAAAUGAAAAGUCUCUUGAAAGGAGAUUUUUGCCUGCUGAUUAUGACCAGAUCCUAUUUAUCCAAUUUCAAAAUUGUGCUCAAGGAAAUAGGACUAUUUCAGAUUAUACGGAGGAGUUUCUAA
rnacentral:rRNA from 1 species